AGCAUGAUAAGCUAAAAUUAAGCUAACGGGUUCAUAUUCCGUUAAUGAGGUUU
rnacentral:tRNA from 1 species